AGGCCACUUACCUUGAGUUCCUGCUUCCGGUCAUCCCUUGGGCUGAGGUCUGAAGCAAUGAUGAAGGUCUUAGGCAUGCUAGGAGGGCUCUUCAUGCUUUUCCAGUUGAAGCAUGUUCAUGCCAACUGAACAACCAUCAGGUAUUUUCAUUGAAACUGCAAUCAUAUAUAAUUCCGGGUAUUUAUAUCUUCCUCCGGUCUACCUCCCCGUAACAUGCUUUGUUCCAAGAAGGGUGCCAAUGAGCUUUAUAGUAAGACCCAAAGAUCCUAGCUUUAAACAAGAGGGAGCAGGACAGAUGUCGUCGCUGUCAGGUGAAAUGGAAUACCCAGGAAGACUUCUAGGUGCAUUGUCGCGGGGCAGUUGUCCCUUGCUGGGCCAUAGAAAUUUUACUACUUCCUACUACGUGGAGGCAUUUAAACUCUAAUUCUGGGGCCAUGAAGUGGUCUUAGCAACCCUGGCUGCGUCAAGUUUUCACUGCUCCUCAGAUGUUGGACAAAUGUCUACAGGGAUCACCUCUGAGCACUUUUAGAAUGACCUUUUAAAAUGAAAACUUGGUCUUCCAUCUGUAUUUAUGAAGUCUUUGUGGGGAGGACUCCUCCAGAUUUUAAAUUUGUGAUAAAGGCAAUUUUAUGGAAAUAAACGUUUGCCAUUCUCAGCGGGUAUUUGUACUGUUUGAA
rnacentral:lncRNA from 1 species